UACGAAGGGGGCUAGCGUUGCUCGGAAUCACUGGGCGUAAAGCGCACGUAGGCGGCUUCUUAAGUCAGGGGUGAAAUCCUGGAGCUCAACUCCAGAACUGCCUUUGAUACUGAGGAGCUCGAGUCCGGGAGAGGUGAGUGGAACUCCGAGUGUAGAGGUGAAAUUCGUAGAUAUUCGGAAAAACACCAGUGGCGAAGGCGGCUCACUGGCCCGGUACUGACGCUGAGGUGCGAAAGCGUGGGGAGCAAACAGG
rnacentral:rRNA from 1 species